rnacentral:rRNA from 1 species
UACGUAGGGUGCGAGCGUUAAUCGGAAUUACUGGGCGUAAAGCGUGCGCAGGCGGUUCGUUAUGUCUGAUGUGAAAGCCCCGGGCUCAACCUGGGAAUGGCAUUGGAAACUGGCGAGCUUGAGUGUGGCAGAGGGGGGGUAGAAUUCCACGUGUAGCAGUGAAAUGCGUAGAGAUGUGGAGGAACACCGAUGGCGAAGGCAGCCCCCUGGGUCAAGAUUGACGCUCAUGCACGAAAGCGUGGGGAGCAAACAGG